GCACGUCUGCCUGGGUGUCAC
rnacentral:siRNA from 1 species